UACAGAGGGUGCGAGCGUUAAUCGGAAUUACUGGGCGUAAAGCGUGCGUAGACGGUUAUUUAAGUCGGAUGUGAAAGCCCCGGGCUCAACCUGGGAAUUGCAUUCGAGACUGAAUAGCUAGGGUACGGUAGAGGGAAGCGGAAUUUCCGGUGUAGCGGUGAAAUGCGUAGAUAUCGGAAGGAACAUCAGUGGCGAAAGCGGCUUCCUGGACCAACACUGACACUGAGGAGCGAAAGCCAGGGGAGCAAACGGG
rnacentral:rRNA from 1 species